rnacentral:tRNA from 1 species
GCUAGUGUAGCUUACUAAAGCACGGCACUGAAAAUGCCAAGACAGAUAAUAAUAAAUCUCACAAGCA